AUUGAACGCUGGCGGUAUGCCUUAACACAUGCAAGUCGAACGGUAACAGGCUUUCGGGCGCUGACGAGUGGCGGACGGGUGAGUAACGCGUAGGAAUCUGCCUUAUAGUGGGGGACAACGUGGGGAAACCCACGCUAAUACCGCAUACGCCCUACGGGGGAAAGCGGGGGAUCUUAGGACCUCGCGCUAUGAGAUGGGCCUGCGUUAGAUUAGCUAGUUGGUAGGGUAAAGGCCUACCAAGGCGACGAUCUAUAGCUGGUCUGAGAGGACGAUCAGCCACACUGGGACUGAGACACGGCCCAGACUCCUACGGGAGGCAGCAGUGGGGAAUAUUGGGACAAUGGGCGCAAGCCUGAUCCAGCAAUACCGCGUGUGUGAAGAAGGCCCUAGGGUUGUAAAGCACUUUCAAUGGGAGGAAAACCUGCCGGUCAAUACCCGGUAGCUUGACAUUACCUAUAGAAGAAGCACCGGCUAACUCCGUAGCCAGCAGCCG
rnacentral:rRNA from 1 species